rnacentral:rRNA from 1 species
GACAGAGGAGGCAAUCGUUAUUCGGAAUUAUUGGGCGUAAAGCGUCCGUAGGUGGUUUGGAAAGUCUGGGGUUAAAGCCCGGAGCCUAACUCCGGAUCGGCCCUGGAAACUGCCAGACUAGAGUAAGGUAGGUGUUGCGGGAAUUCCCGGUGUAGCGGUGAAAUGCGUAGAUAUCGGGAAGAACACCAGUGGCGAAAGCGCGCAACUGGGCCAUUACUGACACUGAGGGACGAAAGCUAGGGAAGCGUACGGG